CCUACGGGAGACAGCAGUGGGGAAUAUUGGACAAUGGGGGGACCCCUGAUCCAGCGCCGCCGCGUGAGUGAAGAAGGAUUUCGGUAUGUAAAGCCCUAUCAGCAGGGAAGAAAAUGACGGUACCUGACUCAGGAGCCCCGGCUAACUACGUGCCAGCAGCCGAGGUACUCCGGAGGGGGCAAGCGUUAUCCGGAUUUACUGGGGGUAAAGGGAGCGUAGACGGUGCAGCAAGUCUGAUGUGAAAGCCACAGGCUCAACCUGUGGACUGCGGUUGAAACUGGGAGGCUUGAGUGAAGUAGAGGUAGGCGGAAUGCCCGGUGUAGCGGUGAAAUGCGUAGAGAUCGGGAGGAACACCAGUGGCGAAGGCGGCCUACUGGGCUUUAACUGACGCUGAGGCACGAAAGCAUGGGUAGCAAACAGGAUUAGAUACCCUUGUAGUC
rnacentral:rRNA from 1 species